rnacentral:tRNA from 1 species
GACGGUGAUGGCGCGGCCGCGCCGGUUGACCGCCGGCACGUGUAGCGGUUCCGUCUGCUCGCCGCCGCC